ACGAAGGGUGCAAGCGUUAGUCGGAAUUACUGGGCGUAAAGCGUGCGUAGGCGGUUUCUUAAGUCCGUUGUGAAAGCCCUGGGCUCAACCUGGGAAUGGCAGUGGAUACUGGGAAGCUAGAGUGUGAUAGAGGAUGGUGGAAUUCCCGGUGUAGCGGUGAAAUGCGUAGAGAUCGGGAGGAACAUCAGUGGCGAAGGCGGCCAUCUGGAUCAACACUGACGCUGAGGCACGAAAGCGUGGGGAGCAAACAGGAUUAGAAACCCUAGUAGUCC
rnacentral:rRNA from 1 species